AUUAUGAAAGCGGCGAUGUCAUAAAUUGUCUGAAGAUGGCAAAGUCAAAUUAAAUUCCAUCGUCAAAAAAGGCUGCCAGCUGGUGUUUGAGUUGAAACCUUUUUGCCAAGAAGGAAGGCGCUAUAUUCCUUGUCCAGGAAGAUGCUAUGGCUCUGCUCUCACAAGUGGAUUAAUGCUGUUAUCAUGAGAGUGGGUUAGUUGCCACUAGAAUGAGUUUCUGAUAAAAGGGAAGAAAUCUUAAAAGUUUGAGAAGAAAAUAUGGUAAAUAACUAAGAGAAAUCUCUGGUCAAUACUCAACAAGUCCUUCAGUCCAACAAUAUUCCAUACAUGAAAUCCUGCCAAAAACCAGACUCAGCACCAAACACACGAGAUGAAACAUAAGAUGCAUAAACACAACCCUUGCCUUUGAAGAAAAUUUGCACUAAUGGCAGAGAUGGGUGCUGUAUGAGUGAGCUGUGGCUGCCAUAGCAAGACAUCAUAGAUUGGAUGGCUUAAACAACAGAAAUUUAUUUUUUCACAGUUCUGGAGGCCAGAAAUCCCCAAUAAAGGUACUGACUGAUUAGGUGAGGGCUUUAUUUCUGCUGACAGACAACCACCUUCUUGUUGAGUUUUUAUACGGUCUUUUCUCUGUGGCUCAUAGAGAGAGACAGAGAGAGCUCUGGUGUUUUUUCCUCUUCUUAUUAGGACACCAGUCCUGUAUCACUAAGGCUCCAUCCUGAUGAUUCCACUUAGCCAGUAACUAUGGGAAUUAGGGCUUCAACAUACAAAUUUAGAGAAAUGUGAUUCCGUUCAUAACAGGUGCUUAACUAGAAUUCUGUAUGCACAUUGUUUUAUGAAAAAGCGACAUGAAACCUAAGGAUUUACUGUCUGUUGUAGAAUUUCUCAUAUAAAGAAGAACCUGAGGCAAGUACAGAAAUGUUACCUCCCUACCUUCUCAUUGGAAAGCAGCUCACAGAGAAUACAAUAGUUCUACCCACUAUGCCCGUAUAAUGCAAUGAUAUAUAUCCGUCACUAAAAUCUCCAUGCUUGUCUCACCCAACGUCUCAAACUAUGCUAUAACUAUUGGCGGAUCUCACAUAAUUGAGCAAUCUGAAUGAUGGAAUUGUACACUAGUUGAAUACAGGAGAUACUAUUUUACAUAGCACAGCAAAGCUCUCCCAUAACUCUACAAAUAGGGCUGAAAAAAUCAAAUACGUAAAAUGCAGCGUCAUGUUAUUGCAUGGUUAAUAAAAUUACUGACUCUUCUCAGCUAUCUGAGUGUUUUAGGUUCCUGAGAGCCAAGUCAGUCAUGUCAUUUCCGAAUUUUGGUGAUCAAAGGGUGGAUGAUCACAGUUUUACUCCAUUUCAACUUGAUUAUUAGUUACAUUAAAAAAAGGUUUUUCUAUGUGUGCUGUGAGACUGAUUCUCAUUUAGUAUGGUUUCAUUAAAAAUUAGGAUCCCUUUUUCCCUCUUGGUUAAGCCAGUAAGAUUGUAGAUUGUCAGACUCUGCCUUGUUCUUUUCCUGAAAUCCAAAGGUAAAAUGCAGUAACGAGAGUAGGGAUGCCAAUAAUGUGGAGGCAAGGAAAAAGCAGCUCCAGGGACAACAUCGGGAAGCGCGAUAGGAUGUUGGCUAAAAAGCUUGCUUUUUCACGUUAUGUCAGAUUUCACAUUCUAACUUCAUCAUUUCCUGGUUAAAGCAUCUUGAACAAAUCACUUUUUGAAUCACUUAGCACCAUGGCUUCUACAUUUCAAGCCCCAAAGGGUAGGAAUUAUUAUUAUUAAUGCUAUUACCAAAGAUGCUAACAAAGGAAAGGGUUUUCACUGUCCAACAUGGUUCAUGUUUAUGAAAUAUUUAUAAAUGGUGCUCACAUUCAAGAGCAAGCCUGUAGAGAUCUUUGGGCAAAUGCCUUGUUAAAGAGAAUUAAUCUAAAUAUUGUUUGUCAUUUGCUCAAGUACACUAAUUCUAUUAGUCUCAACUAUUCAAGGAUAAUCAUUGAAGGCCUAACUCCACAGGAACUGGAUUGAAGAUAAGAUUGGAGGACCACAAUUUCACCAGUACGUUACUUAGAAUAAGCAACUAGGUCCUCACAACAAUCCCUAUUUUCCAGAUGAGAGUGUUGAGGCUCAGAGAGGUAAGCAAAUUGUUUAACUUAUUCCAGCUCUCAAG
rnacentral:lncRNA from 10 species